rnacentral:rRNA from 1 species
UACAGAGGUCUCAAGCGUUGUUCGGAUUCAUUGGGCGAAGGUACGGUAGGUGGCGUGGUGAGUCGGGUGUGAAAUUUCGGAGCUUAACUCCGAAACUGCAUUCGAUACUGCUGUGCUUGAGGACUGGAGAGGAGACUGGAAUUUACGGUGUAGCAGUGAAAUGCGUAGAGAUCGUAAGGAAGACCAGUGGCGAAGGCGGCCAUCUGGACGGAUACUGACGCUGAGACGCGAAAGCGUGGGGGAGCAAACAGG